GGGCGGUUAGCUCAGUUGGUUAGAGCGCUACGUUGACAUCGUAGAGGCCAGAGGUUCAAGUCCUCUACCGCCCA
rnacentral:tRNA from 1 species